rnacentral:lncRNA from 1 species
GGAACCUGACAUCAGCACAUUGGCUUCCAGAUCUACGCACUGUGAGUGAAAGCUUCAAUUUCACUCACCAUCUUGGAGACUCCAGGCAGGCUGCAGUGGGGUGAGGGGAGCAGUGCAGAGCCGACGACAUCUCAGGCCCUGAAAUGGAAUGUUUUGCCAAGCUACAACUUAAAACGGGAUCAGCAAAAUGUUUUCUUUCUUGGCAAUCAUCAUGAAGUCAUUGUCCAAUUGAGGACAUUAAACACUUCAGAGCUUCACUGUACGAGGUCUCCUAAAAGAACUGUGGUUCUUGGAAUCGAAUAUCUCACCAGCAGUUACACAGGGGUGCACUUGUCAUUACUUCAAGGGACUCUUGUGAGCAUGGGGAAAGACUGAUUGGUGCCUGGAGUUGCAGACUUUUCCCCGGAUAGAAGGGCGGGCAGGCUGGCUGCUUGGGAAGGCUUGGCCCUUGCUCAAAGAUCGCACUGGAUUUCCAAGCAGAGAAGCCGCCAGGAACAACCCUUUCA